AAAAAAUAAUAAUAAAUAAAAAAUAAAAAAAUAAGAGUUUCAGUGCACUCAUUUUUUUAUCACUACAAGAUCUUGGGAAAUUAAGAUGCAAAUGUUAUUUACGCAUAAAAAAAAAGAUACUGUUAUUUAAUGAUCAUCUUCUGGUCUCUUGUGCAGUAAAACCACGAUGUCUUCCAGGAAUUAAUUUCAUUAAAUUAUUGGGAGAUGAUGAAAAAGCCUUUGAUGAAUUAUAUUGUAUCGCAUUUGAAAUGAUGGAUGCUCAAUGGCUUGCAAUGAAUGCUUCCUACAUGGACUUCAAUGAGGUAUUACAAGUAACAAGGACUCAAGUUGGAAAGAAAGCUGUCUUUAGAAGACAUUAAGAGCAUACAAUUUGCUGUACCAGUGACAAUGCGUCUCAGCUCAUCAAAAGAAACAAAAGCAUUGUGUAAACAUGGACGUACAGGCUUGUUACGAAUGCAGAUAUCAGCAAGACGGAGGCCAAUCUAGUGGUUUGUCUGCGAGUUUGCAGUAAUACAUAUCAUUUUGGAGGUCCCAUAGCAGACAUUUGUACACUAAAUGGACUUCAAAUGAGCUGUAGUUGAGGCUAGAUUUAUAAUGAACUUUCCAACUCUGUAAACUAUAGCA